GUCGGCGUGGUCUAGAGGCAUGAUACUCGCUUUGGGGCUCGGACGUACGAGUACUUGUGAGUGGCCGCGGGUUCGAUUCCCGCCGUCGACC
rnacentral:tRNA from 1 species